AGCAGCCGCGGUAAAUUCCAGCUCCAAUAGCGUAUAUUAAAGUUGUUGCAGUUAAAAAGCUCGUAGUUGAAUUUCGGGAUCAAUACGUCGGUCGUGCCUUCGGUACGCACUGGCGUCGUUGAUUUCUCCCUUCUGAUGAACCAUGAUGUCAUUAAUUUGGUGUUGUGGGGAGUCAGGACUGUUACUUUGAAAAAAUUAGAGUGUUUAAAGCAGGCAAACGCUUGAAUACAUUAGCAUGGAAUAAUGAAAUAGGACGUUCGAACCUAUUUUGUUGGUUUCUAGGUACAACGUAAUGAUUAAUAGGGAUAGUUGGGGGCAUUAGUAUUCAAUUGUCAGAGGUGAAAUUCUUGGAUUUAUUGAAGACUAACUACUGCGAAAGCAUUUGCCAAGGAUGUUUU
rnacentral:rRNA from 1 species